rnacentral:rRNA from 1 species
GGGUUGUGAGGUUAAGCGACUAAGCGUACACGGUGGAUGCCCUGGCAGUCAGAGGCGAUGAAGGACGUGCUAAUCUGCGAUAAGCGCCGGUAAGGUGAUAUGAACCGUUAUAACCGGCGAUUUCCGAAUGGGGAAACCCAGUGUGAUUCGUCACACUAUCAUUAACUGAAUCCAUAGGUUAAUGAGGCGAACCGGGGGAACUGAAACAUCUAAGUACCCCGAGGAAAAGAAAUCAACCGAGAUUCCCCCAGUAGCGGCGAGCGAACGGGGAGGAGCCCAGAGCCUGAAUCAGCAUGUGUGUUAGUGGAAGCGUCUGGAAAGACGCGCGAUACAGGGUGACAGCCCCGUACACAAAAGCGCAUGUGCUGUGAGCUCGAUGAGUAGGGCGGGACACGUGGUAUCCUGUCUGAAUAUGGGGGGACCAUCCUCCAAGGCUAAAUACUCCUGACUGACCGAUAGUGAACCAGUACCGUGAGGGAAAGGCGAAAAGAACCCCGGCGAGGGGAGUGAAAAAGAACCUGAAACCGUGUACGUACAAGCAGUGGGAGCACAGGUUUACCUGUGUGACUGCGUACCUUUUGUAUAAUGGGUCAGCGACUUAUAUUCUGUAGCAAGGUUAACCGAAUAGGGGAGCCGGAGGGAAACCGAGUCUUAAU